GGGCCCGCACAAGCGGUGGAGCAUGUGGUUUAAUUCGAUGAUACGCGAGGAACCUUACCAGGGCUUAAAUGUAGUGGGACAGGUCUAGAGAUAGACCCUUCUUCGGACUCAUUACAAGGUGCUGCAUGGUUGUCGUCAGCUCGUGCCGUGAGGUGUCAGGUUAAGUCCUAUAACGAGCGCAACCCCUAUCGUUAGUUGCCAGCGAGUAAUGUCGGGAACUCUAACGAAACUGCCAGUGCAAACUGUGAGGAAGGUGGGGAUGACGUCAAAUCAUCACGGCCCUUACGUCCUGGGCUACACACGUGCUACAAUGGCCGGUACAGAGAGCAGCCACUUCGCAAGAAGGAGCGAAUCUAUUAAAACCGGUCUCAGUUCGGAUCGGAGUCUGCAACUCGACGGCAUGAAGUCGGAAUCGCUAGUAA
rnacentral:rRNA from 1 species